UGCGCAGGCGGGCUAUUAAGUCAGUGGUGAAAUCUCUCGGCUCAACCGAGAAACUGCCAUUGAAACUGAUAGUCUUGAGUAUGGUUGUGGUAGGCGGAAUAUAGCAUGUAGCGGUGAAAUGCCUAGAUAUGCUAUAGAACACCGAUCGCGAAGGCAGCUUACCAAGCCAUUACUGACGCUCAUGCACGAAAGCGUGGGGAGCAAACAGGAUUAGAUACCCUGGUAGUC
rnacentral:rRNA from 1 species